GAUGAACGCGGCGGCGUGCCUAACACAUGCAAGUCGAACGAAGUAUAUAUAGGAAGUCUUCGGAUGGAAUAUGUAUAACUUAGUGGCGGACGGGUGAGUAACGCGUAAGUAAUCAACCUGUGACACACGGAUAACUGAUAGAAAUGUCAGCUAAUACGAGAUGAACUGUUUAGAUUGGGAAAUGGAAACAGCAAAGCGAAAGCGGUCACAGACGAGCUUGCGUCUGAUUAGCUAGUUGGUGGGGUAAGAGCCUACCAAGGCGACGAUCAGUAGCCGGCCUGAGAGGGUGAACGGCCACAUUGGAACUGAGACACGGUCCAAACUCCUACGGGAGGCAGCAGUGGGGGAUAUUGCACAAUGGGGGGAACCCUGAUGCAGCAACGCCGCGUGAGUGAAGAAGGCCCUAGGGUCGUAAAGCUCUGUCGUAUGGGAAGAAACAAAAUGACUUU
rnacentral:rRNA from 1 species